GGGCCCUUAGCUCAGCCGGUAGAGCAACUGACUCUUAAUCAGUAGGUUGUCGGUUCGAUCCCGACAGGGCUCACCA
rnacentral:tRNA from 4 species